UCGUUGGGUAGGGGAGCGUUCUGUAAGCCUGUGAAGGUGGCCUGUGAGGGUUGCUGGAGGUAUCAGAAGUGCGAAUGCUGACAUAAGUAACGAUAAAGCGGGUGAAAAGCCCGCUCGCCGGAAGACCAAGGGUUCCUGUCCAACGUUAAUCGGGGCAGGGUGAGUCGACCCCUAAGGCGAGGCCGAAAGGCGUAGUCGAUGGGAAACGGGUUAAUAUUCCCGUACUUGGUGUUACUGCGAAGGGGGGACGGAGAAGGCUAUGUUGGCCGGGCGACGGUUGUCCCGGUUUAAGCGUGUAGGUGUGUGUUCCAGGUAAAUCCGGUUCACUUUAACACUGAGGCGUGACGACGAGGCACUACGGUGCUGAAGCAACAAAUGCCCUGCUUCCAGGAAAAGCCUCUAAGCAUCAGGUAACAUCAAAUCGUACCCCAAACCGACACAGGUGGUCAGGUAGAGAAUACCAAGGCGCUUGAGAGAACUCGGGUGAAGGAACUAGGCAAAAUGGUGCCGUAACUUCGGGAGAAGGCACGCUGACAUGUAGGUGAAGUGAUUUACUCAUGGAGCUGAAGUCAGUCGAAGAUACCAGCUGGCUGCAACUGUUUAUUAAAAACACAGCACUGUGCAAACACGAAAGUGGACGUAUACGGUGUGACGCCUGCCCGGUGCCGGAAGGUUAAUUGAUGGGGUCAGCGCAAGCGAAGCUCCUGAUCGAAGCCCCGGUAAACGGCGGCCGUAACUAUAACGGUCCUAAGGUAGCGAAAUUCCUUGUCGGGUAAGUUCCGACCUGCACGAAUGGCGUAAUGAUGGCCAGGCUGUCUCCACCCGAGACUCAGUGAAAUUGAACUCGCUGUGAAGAUGCAGUGUACCCGCGGCAAGACGGAAAGACCCCGUGAACCUUUACUAUAGCUUGACACUGAACAUUGAGCCUUGAUGUGUAGGAUAGGUGGGAGGCUUUGAAGUGUGGACGCCAGUCUGCAUGGAGCCGACCUUGAAAUACCACCCUUUAAUGUUUGAUGUUCUAACGUGGACCCGUAAUCCGGGUUGCGGACAGUGUCUGGUGGGUAGUUUGACUGGGGCGGUCUCCUCCUAAAGAGUAACGGAGGAGCACGAAGGUUGGCUAAUCCUGGUCGGACAUCAGGAGGUUAGUGCAAUGGCAUAAGCCAGCUUGACUGCGAGCGUGACGGCGCGAGCAGGUGCGAAAGCAGGUCAUAGUGAUCCGGUGGUUCUGAAUGGAAGGGCCAUCGCUCAACGGAUAAAAGGUACUCCGGGGAUAACAGGCUGAUACCGCCCAAGAGUUCAUAUCGACGGCGGUGUUUGGCACCUCGAUGUCGGCUCAUCACAUCCUGGGGCUGAAGUAGGUCCCAAGGGUAUGGCUGUUCGCCAUUUAAAGUGGUACGCGAGCUGGGUUUAGAACGUCGUGAGACAGUUCGGUCCCUAUCUGCCGUGGGCGCUGGAGAACUGAGGGGGGCUGCUCCUAGUACGAGAGGACCGGAGUGGACGCAUCACUGGUGUUCGGGUUGUCAUGCCAAUGGCACUGCCCGGUAGCUAAAUGCGGAAGAGAUAAGUGCUGAAAGCAUCUAAGCACGAAACUUGCCCCGAGAUGAGUUCU
rnacentral:rRNA from 1 species